rnacentral:rRNA from 1 species
AGUGAGCGCUGGCGGUAGGCCUAACACAUGCAAGUCGAACGGCAGCACAGUAAGAGCUUGCUCUUACGGGUGGCGAGUGGCGGACGGGUGAGGAAUACAUCGGAAUCUACUUUUUCGUGGGGGAUAACGUAGGGAAACUUACGCUAAUACCGCAUACGACCUACGGGUGAAAGCAGGGGAUCUUCGGACCUUGCGCGAUUGAAUGAGCCGAUGUCGGAUUAGCUAGUUGGCGGGGUAAAGGCCCACCAAGGCGACGAUCCGUAGCUGGUCUGAGAGGAUGAUCAGCCACACUGGAACUGAGACACGGUCCAGACUCCUACGGGAGGCAGCAGUGGGGAAUAUUGGACAAUGGGCGCAAGCCUGAUCCAGCCAUACCGCGUGGGUGAAGAAGGCCUUCGGGUUGUAAAGCCCUUUUGUUGGGAAAGAAAAGCAGCAGGUUAAUACCCCGCUGUUCUGACGGUACCCAAAGAAUAAGCACCGGCUAACUGCGU